GAGUGGCGAAAGGGCGAGGACACAUGGGAACGUACCUUUGGCUCGGGGAUAGCUGUGGGAAACCGCAGGUAAUACCCGACAUCGCGGAAACGUGAAAGCCGGGGAUCGAAAGACCUGGCGGNCAGAGAGCGGCCCAUGUCCUAUCAGCUUGUUGGUGAGGUAACGGCUCACCAAGGCGACGACGGGUACCGGGGCUGAGAGGUUGACCCGGCGCAUCGGGACUGAGACACUGCCCGGACUCCUACGGGAGGCUGCAGCACCGAAUAUUCCACAAUGGGCGAAAGCCUGAUGGAGCGACGCCGCGUGUGGGAGUAAGCCCUUCGGGGUGUAAACCACUGUCAGGGAUCACCAAGCGACCGGGGCGAACAGUCCCGGAAGUUGAGGAGUCCCAGAGGAAGUCACGGCUAACUUCGUGCCAGCAGCCGCGGUAAGACGAAGGUGGCGAGCGUUGUUCGGAAUUACUGGGCUUAAAGAGCACGUAGGUGGGCUUGCAAGCGUCUUGUGAAAGCCCCCGGCUUAACCGGGGAAUUGCAGGGCGAACUGCCAGCCUUGAGGCAGGUAAGGGCGAGUGGAACUCUUGGUGGAGCGGUGGAAUGCGUAGAUAUCAAGAGGAACGCCGGAGGUGAAGACGACUCGCUGGGCCUGUCCUGACACUGAGGUGCGAAAGCCAGGGGAGCAAACGGGAUUAGAUACCCCGGUAGUCCUGGCCUUAAACGAUGUCCACUAGGUCGGAGGCCUUCUGACAGGCUUCUGGCUGCAAGAAAACCAUUAAGUGGACCGCCUGGGGAGUACGGUCGCAAGGCUAAAACUCAAAGGAAUUGACGGGGGCUCACACAAGCGGUGGAGCAUGUUGCUCAAUUCGAUGCAACGCGAAGAACCUUAUCCUGGGCUUGACAUGUUCGGAUGCCUCCCUGGAAACAGGGUUGGUUGCCCUUCGGGGUGAAACGUUCACAGGUGCUGCAUGGCUGUCGUCAGCUCGUGUCGUGAGAUGUUGGGUUAAGUCCCGUAACGAGCGAAACCCUUGUCGCUAGUUGCCAGCGAGUUAUGUCGGGGACUCUAGCGAGACUGCCGGUGUCAAACCGGAGGAAGGUGGGGAUGACGUCAAG
rnacentral:rRNA from 1 species